rnacentral:lncRNA from 1 species
CUUAAUGUUCUCUGAAAAUGCUUUUAAAGAAAAAGGGUUCCUACAUUUUUAAGCUUUAACAUCUACGAGGAUUCUGCAGAAAAAACAGGCUAAAAACAGAUUUCCAAUUUUUUCUAGACAAGUGAUUUUUCUGGACACCUUUAUUUCAGCACUUGGCCAGGCAGAGGGGAGACACUGCUUAGUACUUCUGUGCCAUCAUUUGGGCCAUAAUGGAAUCUACAAAACACAACUGCCACAGUUCUCCAGCCUCCAACCUUCAGUUGGACUUAAAUUUGCUUUGCAGUAAGGAUGUAUUGCACAUAUUCCAACUGUAGCUUAAAGGUGGUUGUUUUUUUUUUGCUUUGGGAGCUUCUGCUCCAUCUCUGUAAGGACUUGCCCACAUGUUUUUUUUAAUGGAAGCUCAUCUCUGGACAUGGAUUGGAGCUGGUAAGGUGGAGGUCUUUCCAAAUUGUGCUACACUCUAUCCUUCUCCUGUUGUUUUAUUUUAUGAAUACAAAUAUGACUUAACUCAGACUAGAAUCAAGAAGUACCAGGUAUAAAAGUCUGAAGGACUGAAAGAUUUGAUUUUAGUUUCUAUCCAAAAAUCUUCAGAAGAAUUUUGGAUGCUGGGUUUUGCUAAGUGCUUAAAGAAGAAACUGUCUAAAAUGGUCUCUAUAAGAAGGUGGCUACACUGCUUGGAAGAAUAUCCUGUCCCACAACUACUGGAGGCUGUCCUCAAGCUGGGGUUGCAAGGACCCCACUGAUGCAGAUGCUCUCACCAGUCAGAGGUGGGUGACACAGCACUGAGUGUCACAGCAGAAAUUCCCUGUGGCAGGGUUUCUGGAGCUGCUUGCCAUGGCAAAGAAGCACUUGUCUGCCUAACAGGAAGGACAAGCAGGAAUUCAUGCUCCAAGCAUAUUUUGCCUUCUGAUUUCUCCACAGCUCUUCCUACACAAAUCUGGCAAAGUCACAAACCUAGCUGAAUGCACAAUUUGUAAUAAUCAUUAUCCUCUUUCAUGUGUUUGUGAUGAGUGAUUUUAUGGAAUUUGACAGUAGGAUAUGUUCUUCUAAUUGACCUUUUCAGCUGUCUCAGAUUACAAAAUCUGGUAGUGAGCUGAACAAAUUUUCUGAAAUAAAUACCAGCACAGAGGAGAGGAAACCA